rnacentral:rRNA from 1 species
UACGUAGGGGGCAAGCGUUGUCCGGAUUUAUUGGGCGUAAAGAGCGUGUAGGCGGCCAGGUAGGUCUGCUGUGAAAACUCGAGGCUUAACCUCGAGAUGUCAUCGGAAACCAUCUGGCUAGAGUCCGGAAGAGGAGAGUGGAAUUCCCGGUGUAGCGGUGAAAUGCGCAGAUAUCGGGAAGAACACCCGUGGCUAAGGCGGCUCUCUAGUACGGUACUGACGCUGAGACGCGAAAGCGUGGGGAGCGAACAGG